rnacentral:rRNA from 1 species
UGGGGAAUUUUGGACAAUGGGGCGCAAGCCUGAUCCAGCCAUGCCGCGUGCGGGAAGAAGGCCUUCGGGUUGUAACCGCUUUUGUCAGGGAAGAAAUCUUCUGAGUUAAUACCUCGGGAGGAUGACGGUACCUGAAGAAUAAGCACCGGCUAACUAGCGUGCCAGCAGCCGCGGUAAUGACGUAGGGUGCAAGCGUUAAUCGGAAUUACUGGGCGUAAAGCGUGCGCAGGCGGUUUUGUAAGACAGAGGUGAAAUCCCCGGGCUCAACCUGGGAACUGCCUUUGUGACUGCAAGGCUUGAGUGCGGCAGAGGGGGAUGGAAUUCCGCGUGUAGCAGUGAAAUGCGUAGAUAUGCGGAGGAACACCGAUGGCGAAGGCAAUCCCCUGGGCCUGCACUGACGCUCAUGCACGAAAGCGUGGGGAGCAAACAGGAUUAGAUACCCUGG